rnacentral:rRNA from 1 species
CAAUAGCGUAUAUUAAAGUUGUUGCAGUUAAAAAGCUCGUAGUUGGAUUUCGGUUAAGAGCGACCGGUCCGCCGUUUGGUGUGCACUGGUUGGUUUUAACUUCCUGUAGAGGACGUGCUCUGGGUUUAACGACUUGGACUCGGAGUCUACGUGGUUACUUUGAAAAAAUUAGAGUGUUCAAAGCGGGCUUACGCUUGAAUAUUUCAGCAUGGAAUAACACUAUAGGACUCCUGUCCUAUUUCGUUGGUCUCGGGACGGGAGUAAUGAUUAAGAGGAACAGUUGGGGGCAUUCGUAUUUCAUUGUCAGAGGUGAAAUUCUUGGAUUUAUGAAAGACGAACUUCUGCGAAAGCAUUUGCCAAGGAUGUUUUCAUUAA